rnacentral:sRNA from 1 species
GCCGGGACUGCCUGUGUGGCUCCUUGAGUGCGUGGAGGCCAAAGCUGAGAUGACUUGCCUGGGAUGCCACACGUGUUGGGCAGCAGACCGAGCCUCCCACCCCUCCCUCUUGCCCCCAAGGUACCACGGCCCACGUGGGCAUCAUGCUGUAUGGGGUGGACAGCCGGAGUGGCCACCGGCACCUGGACGGCGACAGAGCCUUCCACCGCAACAGCCUGGACAUCUUCCGGAUCGCCACCCCGCAUAGCCUGGGUAGCGUGUGGAAGAUCCGAGUGUGGCACGACAACAAAGGUCUGUGCGGACCCUGCCAAGCUCUGCCCCUCUGCCCCCGCAUUGGGCGCCCUGCGAGCCUGACCUCCCUCCCGCGCCUCUGCAGGGCUCAGCCCUGCCUGGUUCCUGCAGCACAUCAUCGUCAGGGACCUGCAGACGGCACGCAGCGCCUUCUUCCUGGUCAAUGACUGGCUUUCGGUGGAGACGGAGGCCAACGGGGGCCUGGUGGAGAAGGAGGUGCUGGCCGCGAGCGACGCAGCCCUGUUGCGCUUCCGGCGCCUGCUGGUGGCUGAGCUGCAGCGCGGCUUCUUUGACAAGCACAUCUGGCUCUCCAUAUGGGACCGGCCGCCUCGUAGCCGUUUCACUCGCAUCCAGAGGGCCACCUGCUGC